CCUACGGGAGGCAGCAGUGGGGAAUAUUGCACAAUGGGGGAAAGCCUGAUGCAGCGACGCCGCGUGAGUGAAGAAGUAUUUCGGUAUGUAAAGCUCUAUUAGCAGGGAAGAAAAUGACGGUACCUGAUUAAGAAGCCGCGGCUAACUACGUGCCACCAGCCGCGGGAAUACGUAGGGGGCAGGCGUGAUCCGGAUUUACCGGGUGUAAAGGGAGCGUAGGCGGCAGCACAAGUCUGGAGUGAAAUGCCGGGGUUUAACCCCGGAACUGCUGUGGAAACUGUGCGGCUAGAGUGCAGGAGAGGUAAGUGGAAUUCCGAGUGUAGCGGUGAAAUGCGUAGAUAUUAGGAGGAACACCAGUGGCGAAGGCGGCGUACUGGACUGUAACUGACAUUGAGGCUCGAAAGCGUGGGGAGCAAACAGGAUUAGAUACCCUAGUAGUC
rnacentral:rRNA from 1 species